rnacentral:tRNA from 1 species
GCUUGGGUGGCUCAGUCGGUUGAGCGUCUGACUCUCAGUUUCGGCUCAGGUCAUGAUCUCACCAGUUUGUGGGUUCGAGCCCCACCUCAGGCU